CUUAUUCAUUCAUUCCCUCCCUCCCUCACUCAUUCACUUACUAAUUCACUCACUCACUCAUUCAUUCACCCACUCACUCAUUCAUUUAUUCACUCAUUCACUCACUCACUUGCUGUAUAUAGUAAAGAACCACAGAACAGAUUCACAUAUUUUCUCCAAAUAGCCCCUUUGGAGACAGGACAGACAAGGCUCUAAGAUGACCUUUUCUAUAGCCUGGGUAUCUUUUGUCCACAAGGCUCGUUUGCCCUCAGGUUUGGUGCUGUUAGGAGUGUCAGACAUGGGGCCAAAUAGAGGCUCUCAGCAGUUCUGGGGGACCUGGCCUCUCUUGUUUCCUGUUCAUGAUGCAUCUCUGUCACACAUACUCCUGCCAUGAUGUGACAGCCAAGAGAGUGGUCACCAGAGCCAAGCAGAUGCCGACUCUGCGUUGAACCAUUCUAAACCUUGAGCUCAGCAAGCCUCUUUGCCUUAUAAAGUUAAGCUACCUUGGGAAUUUCCCUACAUAACAAUAUAGCCUCCAGGAUUCCUGCCCCCUAGCGUCCCCACCCUGUCAGAUUCCCCCUGUUGAGUAUUGACAGGUCUGUGGAAGAUGACAGAAUUUUAUUCUGGGAUGAGGUUGCAAUACAAAUGGCAAAAAGAAGGAAUACUGUAGUUAUAGUUAAUGUCUUGAAUCUUUUAAGUUCAGUAAAAGGGCGGUUAUCCUGGGUAGGCCCUGCUCACUUAGGAUGAGAGAGCUCAAAAGAGUAACCAAACCUUUCUGUAGAGAGAGAUAAUGUCUCCUGUUGGCAUAGAAGAAAUGAUCUUCCAAGGAUGGCAUGACUGCAAAAUAGCCGCCUGGCAAGGCCUAUUUGCCCCCCAGCCCCACCCAAGGCUGGCACUGGUGCUCCAAUCGAAAGCUGUGGCUGGUAAAGAGACAACAGGAUCUCAGGACUACAGUCCCAGGGAGCAGAAUUCUGUCACCAGCUGAAGCUCUCCGAGCCAGCUGGUACCCUGACGACUGGUGCAGGGGACUGUGAGACAACAGGCAAGUGACAAUUUAAGUCAUAAACUUUAUGGUAAUGAUGAGAUGUUAACACGCCACUGUGUGAUUCCCAGGGCCCAUGGAGCACCACAGCUGCUGUCAAAGCCAAGAACCUAUGAAGACCUGGCCAAGGAGCAGGAUUCGGGAAGAUUCCAGAGAGGAGGAGGUGGACAGGCAGAAAGUGGUGUUCCAGCAGUUUUCAAAGAGGGAAGUAUGUAGUCAUCAUGCAGUUGAGCACUUGGUGGCCCUCGGACGGAUGGUGCUGUUUGAGAAGGUUGCAGAACUUCUAGGAGGUGGAGCCUCACUGGAGGAAGUGCGUCAUACGGGACAGCCUUGGAUGUUUUAUAACCCAGACCCACUUGCUGUUUACUCUCUGCUUCUUGACUUGAAUGGGAUGGGACCAGCUCUACCUUCUGUUCCUAUGACCAUGCCUUUCCCUGCCAGCAUGGAAAGCAUCCCUUCGAACUGCAAACCAAAAUACACCCGUCCUUCCUUAAAUUGCUCGCUGGGCAUUUUAUCACAGCACUGGGAAGGCAUUCUAAGGCCUCCCUGCAAAGGAGAGAGUGGAGGACUUCCAAGGACUUGGGACAUACAAGCAUAAAACAGCCUGGGGGAAAGGCACUCUUCCCUCUCAGGCUCCCACUUGAGAAGGCUGGCCCCGCCAGAAUCUCAGAGACUCGAGGUUCUUCAGUCCUCAAGUGAAGACACGUUCCUGUGAGAAGGACAGCAGUGGUGAUGGACCCUGUAGGCAGUCAGAUCAGACAGGUUACAGGUAGAAGUCUUCUGUUUAGCUACUGCUUACCUGUCAGCUCACCUACCUACCCAUACAGCCACCAGUCAGCUGCUGACUCCCCCACCUAGCCAGGCAUCAUCUGUAUCUACCAUGUCCUUCCAUCCUUCAUCAAUCCAUUAUCCUACCCACACUUCCAUCCAUUGUAUUAUCCAUAGGGUCACACCUUCAUUCAGACAUUCGCCUCUUAUUCCCUCUGUCUACGAUAUUUUAUUCCAUUCAUCCAUUGUUCCAAACAUAUACUCAUUCGUCCAUCGAUUAUUUUCCUAUCCAUCUACCCAUCCAUUUGUCUCUCAGUUCACUCAUGCAACUGAACGCUGCUGUGGACCAGCUCUUGAAUGGGAAUUAUAGUUACCUUCAAUGUCUCAUUCUUGGUGCUCUUCCCACUGAGUUCAGGAGCAAGCUUCAGUCCCGGGAAGAUCUAAUUACUGCCAGGUCCCUGUAGCUGAGGGUUCACUGAACUGAAGGAAGGUCUGGGAAGGAAAAGGAAGGACAUUCCCAACAGAGGGAUCAAUGCUUCUAAGUGCUGGGAGGCCUGCAGGAGAAUGGAGAUGCUGAACAGCAAAAACUGGGUGAAAGGAAUCUGUACACACGGGCAAGGCCUGGGAUGCAGGUACAGCAUAUGACCUCUACACAUCUGGGACAGUGUCAGUUAAUGACAUGUGUGGAUUGGGGGAGGGACCAUGGGAGUGGAGGAGUGGCAGAGGGCAGGGAGCUGCAGGCAGGAAGCUUGACAUUUGCAGGAGGGACUCAUCUUCUCCGGUGGGUAGAUGUGAGCAGGGCAGGCCAUCUUGAUCUGGAAGUGAGCUGGGAUUUGGACUUGAGAUGCAGGGGUUUCUGAAGGUGUUGGUGUUAGCACCGUGGAGAUGCAGGCUGCACAGCUGUGGAUGGGUUUUGAGGCCCUGUGUUCAGAAACACAGGUCCUUUCCUACUCGAGAGGCAUCUAGAGGGAAGUUGGGGCUUCGGGUGGCCCUAGGACCAGGCAGCUUCUGUGAGUCCACCUGGAAUGCAUACAUCUUAUAGACUCAAACCUGCAACUCAAAAUAAAAAUGAUUUAGGAGACCCGAGAUCAGUUCUUCCCUAGGCCCAUAGUUGCCAAAUUGGACAGACAGACAGACAGACAGACAGAGUAUGCCACAAGCACAGGCAAUUACAAGCAGAGCCAACAGCCCACUUGGCACACUUCUGGGGGGUGUCAAUUAUUUAAACACUAAUUAACAUAGCUCUGCAUGUCUUUUUUGGGGCGCACUCAGAACACUCGGCAUUGUUAUCACGGAAGAAAAGAGAGAAUGAAAUAUUGAUGGGGCAGGCUUUGUUCUCUGCUCAGCCGGAGCAGGCUGGUUGUAGGAAGCGGAUUCCCGCCGUUGCCGAGGCUUUAAUUAGGAAGGUCGCUGGCUUUUCGGGCGUCUUGGAUUCCUUUAA
rnacentral:lncRNA from 1 species